AUUGAACGCUGGCGGCAUGCCUUACACAUGCAAGUCGAACGGUAACGGGCCUUCGGGUGCCGACGAGUGGCGAACGGGUGAGUAAUGCAUCGGAACGUACCUUUCAGUGGGGGAUAACGUAGCGAAAGUUACGCUAAUACCGCAUAUUCUGUGAGCAGGAAAGCAGGGGAUCGCAAGACCUUGCGCUGAUUGAGCGGCCGAUGUCAGAUUAGCUAGUUGGUGAGGUAAAGGCUCACCAAGGCGACGAUCUGUAGCGGGUCUGAGAGGAUGAUCCGCCACACUGGAACUGAGACACGGUCCAGACUCCUAAGGGAGGCAGCAGUGGGGAAUUUUGGACAAGGGGGGCAACCCUGAUCCAGCAAUGCCGCGUGAGUGAAGAAGGCCUUCGGGUUGUAAAGCUCUUUCGGUCGGGAAGAAAUCGCAUGGGUUAAUACCCUGUGCGGAUGACGGUACCGGCAUAAGAAGCACCGGCUAACUACGUGCCAGCAGCCGCCGUAAGAC
rnacentral:rRNA from 1 species